GACGAACGCUGGCGGCGUGCUUAACACAUGCAAGUCGAACGGUGAAGCGCCUUCCUUUUUGGUGGGUGUGGAUGAGUGGCGAACGUGUGAGUAACACGUGAGUAACCUGCCCCCUUCUUCUGGAUAACCGCUUGAAAUUGUGGCUAAUACGUGAUAUUCUGGGUCUGUCGCAUGAUGGGUCUGGGAGAGAUAUUGUUUCGGUGGGGGAUUGGCUCGGGGCCUAUCAGCUUGUUUGUGGGGUGAUGGCCUACCAAGGCGGUGACGGGUAGCCGGCCUGAGAGGGUGGAGGGACACACGGGGACUGAGACACGGCACAGACUCAUAGGGGGGGGGAGAGGGGGAAAUAUGGCAAAAGGGGCGCAAGCCUGAUGCAGCGACGCCGUGUGAGGGAAGGACGCCUGCGGUUUGUGAACAUCUUUUGCGAGUGAAGAAGGCCUGCUUCGUUUGUGGGUGGGUUGACGGGAGCUGGAUAAGAAGCGCCGGCUAAAUAAGUG
rnacentral:rRNA from 1 species